GCGGAAGUGCUGUGUGGCGCGCGGGGUCCCGGCGGAGUCGUGAUCACCUGGCCCCUGUCUGUGUCCCUGGUCCAGCGGGGUACCUGGAGGUGCGCGGGUGGUAGAGACAGUGGCGGAUGCAGGGCGUGACGCGCGGCCAUGAACCUGGAGCCGCUUCGGAAGCGCGUCCGGCAGUACCUGGACCAGCAACAAUAUCAAAGUGCUCUGUUUUGGGCAGACAAAGUAGCUUCUCUUUCUCAUGAGGAACCUCAGGACAUUUAUUGGUUGGCUCAGUGUCUUUACCUCACAGCGCAGUAUCACAGAGCAGCCCAUGCGCUUCGGUCACGCAAAUUGGACAAAUUGUAUGAAGCUUGCCGUUACCUUGCAGCUAGAUGCCAUUAUGCUGCAAAGGAGCACCAGCAGGCUCUUGAUAUUCUUGAUAUGGAGGAACCAAUCAACAGAAGGCUCUUUGAAAAAUACUUGAAGGAAGAAAGUGGCUUGAAAGACUCUUCCACUGACUGGGAAAUGUCAGAGUCCUCAAUAAAGAGUUCUAUUUGUCUUCUACGAGGGAAAAUCUAUGAUGCACUAGAUAACCGGACCUUAGCUACCUACAGCUACAAAGAGGCUUUGAAGCUUGACGUCUACUGUUUUGAAGCAUUUGAUCUUUUGACAUCACACCACAUGUUGACUGCACAAGAAGAAAAAGAACUUCUCGACUCACUGCCUCUUGGCAAUCUUGGUGCUGAGGAGCAGGAAUUGCUACGGUUUCUAUUUGAGAACAAGUUAAAAAAGUACAAUAAGCCUAGUGAAACUGCCAUCCCUGAGUCUAUAGAUGGGUUGCAAGAGAAUCUGGAUGUAGUAGUGUCUUUAGCUGAGAGACACUAUUAUAACUGUGACUUUAAGAUGUGUUACAAGCUAACUUCUGCAGUAAUGGAAAAAGAUCCCUUCCAUGCAAAUUGUUUACCUGUACAUAUAGGGACCCUUGUGGAGCUAAAUAAAGCAAAUGAACUUUUCUAUCUUUCUCACAAAUUGGUGGAUUUAUAUCCUAGUAAUCCUGUGUCUUGGUUUGCAGUUGGAUGUUACUAUCUCAUGGUUGGUCAUAAAAAUGAACAUGCCAGGAGAUAUCUCAGCAAAGCUACAACACUUGAGAAGACCUAUGGCCCUGCUUGGAUAGCCUAUGGGCAUUCCUUUGCUGUGGAGAGUGAGCAUGACCAAGCAAUGGCUGCUUAUUUCACAGCAGCCCAGCUGAUGAAAGGGUGUCAUUUGCCAAUGCUAUAUAUUGGAUUAGAAUAUGGUUUGACCAAUAACUCCAAAUUGGCUGAACGAUUCUUUGGCCAAGCUCUGAGUAUUGCACCAGAAGAUCCCUUUGUUAUCCACGAGGUUGGAGUGGUUGCAUUUCAGAAUGGAGAAUGGAAAACAGCAGAAAAGUGGUUUCUUGAUGCUUUGGAAAAAAUUAAAGCAAUUGGGAAUGAGAUAACAGUUGACAAAUGGGAACCUUUGCUGAACAACUUGGGACAUGUCUGCAGAAAACUGAAAAAAUAUGCUGAGGCUUUGGAUUACCACCGCCAGGCACUUGUGCUAAUCCCUCAGAAUGCCUCUACCUAUUCCGCUAUAGGGUAUAUCCAUAGUCUGAUGGGAAACUUUGAAAAUGCUGUGGACUAUUUCCAUACAGCCCUUGGUCUUAGGCGAGAUGACACAUUCUCCGUUACAAUGCUUGGUCAUUGUAUCGAAAUGUACAUUGGUGAUUCUGAAGCUUAUAUUGGAGCAGACAUUAAAGACAAAUUAAAAUGUUAUGACUUUGAUGUGCAUACAAUGAAGACACUAAAAAACAUUAUUUCACCUCCGUGGGAUUUCAGGGACUUUGAAGUAGAAAAACAGACUACAGAAGAAACGGGGCUUGCACCACUAGAAAACUCCAGGAAAACUCCAGAUUCCAGGCCUUCCUUGGAAGAAACCUUUGAAAUUGAAAUGAAUGAAAGUGACAUGAUGUUAGAGACAUCUAUGUCAGACCACAGCACAUGACUCCAGAUGUGGUCAAGGACCCCCAUGUGCUGAUGACCAGCAGCCUGCUUUAAGAGAUGGGAUACACCUUGGCAGCAGAUGUUUUCUGAUUCUAUGGACCUACAAAAUAGUUAGACAUAGUGGAAUAAAGAAGCUGCUGAAGCUAUUGGCCCAACUAAAUACAUCCCAAAGGUUCUUAAGAAAAAGUUGUUGCCUUGCUGUAAAAAUAAACAAGAACUCGAGUUUCCGGUGGUGCUGGUACUGCGCUAGUAACUGAGUGGACUAGAAACUGAUGGAGCGCCUGG